GGGAAACCUGGCUAUAUGCUGAUCACAGUGGAUGUCCUGCAAAGCUCUUCUCUAAGAAACACCUCUUCUGUCUCUCCUCAUAUUUUAUCCUUGAAGGAGAGCUUUUGCUUGGAUCAGAGAAGAGCAGAGCAGGUCGAGUCCAGGCUUAGAGUGAAGGUAAAGUUCACAUCAUGAAUUGCCUGAACCCGCCUGAUCUGGUCUCCCUGGGUUGUAAAUUGGCAAGAGCUGAGACAGUGGUGACGAAUGAUGACCACAAUGAACAGGCAGCUCUUACUUUCUUAUAUAAGCAGUUUCAGGACAUUUUGCAAUAGUUUCAAGCACGCAUGAACUUUGCUUCCCAUUUUUGCCUUCACUGUGCCUGGCCGUGGCAUCACCGUGUUCCAGAGGAGUUUAUUAGGUCUAGACUUAAAUUAUGGGUGUCAUAUGAGUGAAAUAAAACACAAGUUAGUGAGGUAAUGAUUAAAGAACAAUCUCAGGUCCUGCA